GUCCAGGGAUGGAAAUCGAACCCACAAUGUUCCGCUUACCGGGCAGAUGCCAUGUCCACUAGGCUACCCUGGA
rnacentral:tRNA from 1 species